GGGUGACACUGAGGUGUCCCUGGUGUCCCCAGGAUGUCCCCAGGAUGUCCCCAAGGCCAAGCUCCCCUGGCAGUGGGGACACUGGGGGGUUACUGGUGACACUGGGGUGACACUGGUGACACUGAAGGUGACACUGAGGUGUCCCUGGUGUCCCCAGGAUGUCCCCAAGGCCAUCCCUGAGGCCAAGCUCCGCUGGCAGUGGGGACACUGAGGGGUUACAGGUGACACUGGUGACACUGAAGGUGACACUGAGGUGUCCCUGAUGUCCCCAGGAUGGCCCUGAGCCGUCCCCAAGGUGGAACACCGCUGGCAGUGGUGACACUGGGGGGUUAUGAGUGACAUUGGUGAUACAGGGGUGACACUGCGGUGACACUGAUGGCACUGAGGUGACACUGGUGACACUGAGGUGUCCCCAGGAUGUCCCCAAGGCCGAGCUCUGGUGGCAGUGGUGACACUGGGGGGGUUACAGGUGACACUGAGGGUGACAUUGAUGUCCCCAGGAUGUCCCUGAGGCCAUCCCUGAGGUGGAACGCCACCAGCAGUGAGGACACUGGGGGGUUGCUGGUGACACUGGUGACACUGAAGGUGACACUGAGGUGUCCCCAGGAUGUCCCCAAGGCUGUCCCCAAGGCUGAGCUCCGGUGGCAGUGGUGACACUGGGGGGUUACUGGUGACACUGGGGUGACACUGGGGUGACACUGAGGGUGACAUUGAUGUCCCCAGGAUGUCCCCAAGGCCGUCCCCGAGGCUGAGCUCCGGUGGCAGUGGUGACACUGGGGGGUUACUGGUGACACUGGUGACACUGGGGUGACACUGGGGUGACACUGAGGUGUCCCUGGUGUCCCCAGGAUGUCCCCAAGGCCGUCCCCGAGGCAGAACUCCGCCGUCAGUCUCUCCAGGACAGCCGGCGCUCGCUGCCCAUCUUCCCGUUCCGCCAGGAGCUGCUGGC
rnacentral:lncRNA from 1 species